UACAGAGGGUGCUAGCGUUGUUCGGAAUCAUUGGGCGUAAAGCGCGCGCAGGCGGCGGUGCUGGCCCGGCGUGAAAGCCCCCGGCUCAACCGGGGAGGGUCGUCGGGGACCGCACCGCUUGAGGGCGGUAGGGGCUGGUGGAAUGCCUGGUGUAGUGGUGAAAUGCGCAGAUAUCGGGAAGAACACCCGUGGCGAAGGCGGUUCUCUGGGACGGUACUGACGCUGAGACGCGAAAGCGUGGGGAGCGAACAGG
rnacentral:rRNA from 1 species